GAUGAACGCUGGCGGCGUGCCUAAUACAUGCAAGUCGAGCGAACAGACGAGGAGCUUGCUCCUCUGACGUUAGCGGCGGACGGGUGAGUAACACGUGGAUAACCUACCUAUAAGACUGGGAUAACUUCGGGAAACCGGAGCUAAUACCGGAUAAUAUAUUGAACCGCAUGGUUCAAUAGUGAAAGACGGUUUUGCUGUCACUUAUAGAUGGAUCCGCGCCGCAUUAGCUAGUUGGUAAGGUAACGGCUUGCCAAGGCAACGAUGCGUAGCCGACCUGAGAGGGUGCUCGGCCACACUGGAACUGAGACACGGUCCAGACUCCUACGGGCGGCAGCAGUAGGGAAUCUUCCGCAAUGGGCGAAAGCCUGACGGAGCAACGCCGCGUGAGUGAUGAAGGUCUUCGGAUCGUAAAACUCUGUUAUUAGGGAAGAACAAAUGUGUAAGUAACUAUGCACGUCUUGACGGUACCUAAUCAGAAAGCCACGGCUAACUACGUG
rnacentral:rRNA from 1 species